ACCAGGGACGCGAUAGAGAUACCCGGCCCUUUGCUGAGAUCGUAUAUUAUACAACCACAGAUAAGAUUUUAAAUAGAAAUAAGAGUGAAAGGAAAUAUCGUAUGGCAUGAAAGAGGGGCCCUACGAUCUUUAACUUAAUAAGAAACGAUAAAGAGCACAUCCCGAUGCAUAGAAGAUCGGGAGUAUAUUCUAUUCCCCUAUACAAUAAUGAUGAACAAGUGGAGCAGUGUUACGUUGGUAGCACGACUAGGACCUUAGAAAAAAGAAUACGUGAGCAUAAGGCAGAUAUUGCAGCAGGUAGAUUGACCACUGCCCUAUUGACCACAGCAUAUGAACAGGAUGUCACAAUAGACUGGCCGGGUGCUGGCAUAAUAAGAUGUGUUACUGGC
rnacentral:lncRNA from 1 species